GAUGAACGCUGGCGGCGUGCUUAACACAUGCAAGUCGAACGGUGAAAGUGGGAGCUUGCUCCUGCUGGAUCAGUGGCGAACGGGUGAGUAACACGUGAGCAAUCUGCCCCGAACUCUGGGAUAAGCGUUGGAAACGACGUCUAAUACCGGAUACGACGCGCGAAGGCAUCUUCUGCGCGUGGAAAGAAUUUCGGUUCGGGAUGAGCUCGCGGCCUAUCAGCUAGUUGGUGAGGUAAUGGCUCACCAAGGCGACGACGGGUAGCCGGCCUGAGAGGGUGACCGGCCACACUGGGACUGAGACACGGCCCAGACUCCUACGGGAGGCAGCAGUGGGGAAUAUUGCACAAUGGGCGCAAGCCUGAUGCAGCAACGCCGCGUGAGGGACGACGGCCUUCGGGUUGUAAACCUCUUUUAGUAGGGAAGAAGCGAAAGUGACGGUACCUGCAGAAAAAGCACCGGCUAACUACGUG
rnacentral:rRNA from 1 species